UUCCUGUAGUUAAAUUUCAAUAACAGUGGCUUUUCAGGUCGCAGGUCCUGGAGAAAGACCGGACGGGAAU
rnacentral:tRNA from 1 species